rnacentral:misc_RNA from 1 species
GGUAAUGAGUGCGAUUGGCAACCCUCUGCAAUCUUUAGCACCAUCUUGAGCUAGAGGAACAAUAUCAAGAAGAAUAUCCCCAACCUUCCGAAAAAACUCCCAAUCUUCUUCCCAAUCCAAAGGUUUCAAUUUUAUGAUCUGUUCAGCAUCCAUUUGCCUGCCUACUCUCUGAAAGCGUGUUGUGAAUACUAUCUUGGACCUGUUCGGACUUGUUGGUAGAGGAACCCCAAUUUCUCCAAGAUCAACUCUCUGCCAUAUGUCAUCUAAACAAUAAUACAAACUUCUUUCUGCUCAAUAUAGAGAAUAAUUCUUCGGCUCUCUCACCUAGGCUUUUUUUUUCCCAUUUGUCAUCAAAAAAGCCAAUUUUUUUCCAUAUCUGUUCUUGAAUCUUCUCAAGUUUCAGAUCUUUAGAAACCACAACCCAAAUCACAUCAAAAUUAUUAGAUCUAGUGGCAAACCUAUUGUUGAUUUGAGUCAGAAGGGUAGUUUUACCGACUCCCCCCAUACCGUAUAUGCCAACAAUUCCCACCUCAUCUCCCAUGAGGCAGCUCCAUGCCUCGUCUAAGGUGGUUUCAGAGCCCACGGUUGGAUUAACUUUUCUUACUGCCACUGGUUUUGGAUGUGUCCUGAUAACCACUUCUUUGAAUUC